rnacentral:rRNA from 1 species
UACGAAGGGGGCUAGCGUUGCUCGGAAUUACUGGGCGUAAAGCGCACGUAGGCGGAUUGUUAAGUCGGGGGUGAAAUCCUGGAGCUCAACUCCAGAACUGCCUUCGAUACUGGCGAUCUCGAGUUCGGGAGAGGUGAGUGGAACUGCGAGUGUAGAGGUGAAAUUCGUAGAUAUUCGCAAGAACACCAGUGGCGAAGGCGGCUCACUGGCCCGAUACUGACGCUGAGGUGCGCAAGCGUGGGGAGCAA